UGGGUUGUUUUUGCCUUUGCAGAGCCCGGUCGGUAGGCUUUGCUGGAUUUUCACCUUCUUCUCAAAGGCUCCAUCCCAGCCGGCGCGCUCAGCCCCCGCCUGGCCUCCAACCGCCCGGCCCCUCCCUUGUGCGGAGUUUCCAGCCGCCCAGCGGUCUCCACGGCAACGCAGAGGCAAGCUUUAGAGGCAAGCGGGUCCGCUCUGGGAGGGGAGUGUCCGGCUUGGGGAGCCGGCCGCACCUCUUCUGGGCUCCUUUUCCCUACUUUAGGCCUGAUCCCCUACUCAGCUUCCCGGAAAAGCUACCCGUUUGAGGAAUAGUUGGUUUAUGGAUCCAAGUCCAAAAACUCAAGACUUCCAAAUGGAAUGACCUCGCAGAUGAGAGGAUGCUGCUUUGGAGUUUUCUAGAAAAAGAAUCACUGAGUAUGUGUCCUGUUUGGCCUCUUGCCCUUGAGAGGGAUCCAGCAGUCGCCAGAAAGCAGAGGGAGCCCAGCAGCCCAAGCGCAGAGGAGAAAUACCCGGACCUCUCUCUCCUCCCGCCCUCUGAUUCCUGCCGCUGCCUCCCAUUGGCUGAUCCAGACCGGAAGUCAUCUGGCAAAGGCGCUUUGAAAGGCCUUCCCGGCCACUUCGAACUUGCCCAGAGGCUUCAGAGGGACCCGUAUGAUCUCUUCAAACUCCUCAUGGUUGCAGUCUUCCG